rnacentral:tRNA from 1 species
GGGGUUAUAGCUCAGUGGUAGAGCACCCUGGCAUGCAUGAGGUCCUGGGUUCAAUCCCCAAUGCCUCCG